UAUUUACCGGCUACUAUCCCCCGGAAAGCGUGUGUAUAUCGUCCUUGGUUUGACCCACGUGAAGACUCGGUGUGCUACUUUUGGAUUCCUCGUCCCAUAAAUGCUUCUUCACGUCAAAUAUCACAUGUCGUUUUGACAUCAGAGUCUAUUUAAAACAAUAAACGCGUGUUGUGUAGUCGUGGGAGGCCAGCUAACAUGUGUGCUAGCAGUAGAUCAGUGUUGACGUUCUUCCAGCGAUGCUUGGCGGUGAGUCACCAAACGAGGACGACCAACAGGCGUCUUCUCUUAUCACGACCCUCUUGGACCUUAACCUCGACCGGCGCAACUGUCGGACCCGUUCCUCGGGGAUUUUGUCGUCACCAGUAUGUCACUCUUGCAACAACUAACAAGCGAAGCCUGUGCAGUAAGGCGUCAUGUGAGGAAGAAUAUCCUCCUCUACCAGCCUACCAAUCCGACACUGCUUCGGAAGAGAAGAACGAGGUGUACAUCGUGCAUGUGAAGGGCCUCCCGUGGUCAUGCACUGCUCAGGACCUGCUGCACUUCUUCUCAGAGUGUCGCAUCCGCGAUGGCGUGUCGGGUGUGCACCUGACGGUGGAUCACCAAGGGAGGCCGUCCGGACGCGCCUUUGUGGAGAUGGAGCACGAGGAAGAUGUCGGCAAAGCGCUGCAGAAGCACAGGCAGUAUCUCGGACAUCGCUACGUGGAAGUGUACGAGGUGAGUAACAGCGAUGCCGAGGGCAUCCUGAAGAAAGCGGUGUUGUUCCCCGCCGACACCCGGGUGGUCAGAAUUCGGGGUCUUCCCUUCACGUGCACCGAGAACGACAUUGUGCGCUUCUUUUCUGGUCUGGAGAUUGUGGAAAAAGGCAUCACCAUGGUGCUCAAUAGCAGAGGGAGGAGAACCGGGGAGGCUUUUGUGUGGUUCUCAUCGCAAGAAGCGGCUGAUGAAGCAUUGCGCCGAGACAGAGAUCUCAUAGGAAACAGGUACAUUGAAGUAUUUCCCAGCAGCAGUCGAGAGAUCAACUCCAACUCGAGGAAUUUUUCCCAAAGCGUGAACGACACAACAAGUGUGAAGAGAAGCAGCCUUGCCACCACUUCGGUCCCAAACUCUAAACCCAGCGACUUCUCCCAUCACGUCCACUUGAGAGGACUUCCGUUGCACGUCUCUGGAGAGGAUAUCAUCAAGUUUUUCACCCCGGUGGCGGUGUCCAAGAUUCUCCUGGAGUUAGGACCCGAUGGCAGGCCCAGCGGUGAGGCCGACGUUUACUUUACCAAUCAUCGGGACGCCGUGGCGGCCAUGUCCAAAGACCGAAUGUACAUAGGUGAACGAUACAUUGAGCUCUUCCUGAAUUCAGAGCCUGAAAACCAACGGUGAAAAAAAAUUCCAAAUCAGGUAAAAACCCCCCUCCCCCAAUGCUGCUUCCGUCUUGAUACCAACACAUCGUUUCUGUUUUAUUCUUCAUGCCGGCUGACACAGACUGCAAGGUACUGAAGGAAUCUGACCUUUUGGCCAGUUUGCCGGAAUCACCCCAGCCGAACCGCUGGAACCGCGCUAGCGCAAUUCCAACGACCCAGGCCAGUAGAAAACCGACAACCUGCCCAAAAGGCCAAACUCUGUGCGUUCACCUGUCUUAACCCCUUGGACUGACUCCAUUUUAAAAGCUGGACAAAGGCUUCGAAACACAAGUUGACGAUUUAUUCCGAGUCGACAGCAAUCAUACAGCACAGAGAGACCCAGGCAAGGGUUUAAGUUGGCUCCAGGGUCACCAUAUCACAAGUCAACAAAAGGUUCCCGAGAAAAAUGACAAUUAGUUAAACAUUGUCUUUUAAAGGCUCUGGUGAGGCGGGCUGUGGUCCGGAAGAAGGGUGUCUUUGGGCUUUGUUUAGGAUUAUUAUCUGUUUGUGGAUUGGACAUGAGGAUUUGGGUGCUACUGUUGUCAGUAGGGAUGGGAAUUGAUAGGAUUUUUACGAUUCCGAUUCCAUUAUCGAUAUUGCUUAACGAUUCGAUUCUUUAUCGAUUCUCUUAUCGAUUCUAAUUUGGGGAAAAAGAACAACAAACGUUUUGAUUGGCAUCGAGUUUGUUUAAUCAGAACUCACAACCUUACAAACUCACAACGAGAUCAAAAGAAGCCCAAAGCCUCAAUGUUAACUGUGGCAAUAAGUGGCAAAUACACAAGAAUGUGUAACAUUUUACUGAAACAUUUAUCUAAUAGAAAUAAAAAAUAUUGGUAUAUAUUGGGAGAUAGGUUGUUGUUCUGCGUUUGGCUAUAUGUGUUAAAGCAGGGGUCCCCAAACUUUUUCCUGUGAGAGCCACAUAACUUUUCCCUUCUCUGAUGAGGGGCCGGGGUCAGUUUGUAACAUAAAAAAAGUGUGACGAUUGCAGAAGUGCAUAAAUGUAAAAAAUUAUUGUUUUUCAGAAAGCCACAAUAAAAUAACCCUUUCUGGAUUCUUCACGGAAUGAAAGUAAAUAAAAUAAAAAUAAUAAUAUAAUAAUAAUAAUUAAUAAUAAAAACACUAUUAAUUAAAUAGAUAAUAACCAAAUAACCCGCUCUGAAUUCUUCAAGGGAAAAGGCCAGGAAAUAAAUAACACGAUUGAGGAAAAAAAAAAAAUUCAAAACGGCCGGACCAAAUGUGGAGGCGGCCCGUAUUUGGGCCGCGGGCCGCAGUUUGGGCACCCGAAGAAAUGCCGCAUCCAAGCGAGUGAGCGUGCGAAGUGAGAGAGGGAAACACUUCUACGAGCCUACGUUCUUUGUUAAUGUUAAUAUCUACAGAGGCAACGCCUGUAUGUAUAAUCUUUUGUGUUGUUGUUGUUGUUGUGUUUCCACUCGCGAUCGGACACUUAAAUCCAGUUGUGUAGUGGUUUGAACGAUGUGCUAAUGCUAGCGAACGAAUGCUAACCAUACUGUUAUUAGCAGCUAAUCAUCGCUGAUUUACGUUGAUGCAAACCUGUUUGUUAUUGGGGACGAAAUUGAUUUGUUUCAUUUCUAUUUUUAGUUUCACUCUUCAAGUGAUGGUUGAAUAAAGUCAGCAAAUUAUACCAACGUCUUCUGUAUUGUCAUUUCGGAGUUCAGCUAGCUGUAUAGCUGUCUCGGUGAGGACAGUGCAGUCUAUUCCCUCCCGAUGCAGUUAUCUCCACCUUGCAAUGACUGCAAGUCGCUUUGUUGUAAUUUUUCCUCGUGAAGUGAAGACACACUUUCGAGCGUUUGAACCUACGUGCUGUCAUUGUUAUGUUUAUGGCUGCAAUGCUCGUGCUUACCCGUCGUAACCUUUCAUUUUCACACUCUUUCCUGGUGAAGUGUAGUCCAACUUUGGAGCGAGUGGUUCUUGGCGCCAUGCUAGUUUGAUGCGUCUGGACAACAAGACACGUCACGACGCAAUACGCGUCUUUAGAAAUCGUUAAAGGGAUCAUUAAGGCUUUUUCAUUGUGAUGUCGAGGCCUCGAAACACUCGGAACCGGUUCCGAAUUGGAAUCGGAUUUCGAUUCCCAUCCCUAGUUGUCAGGGCAACAAGAGUUAAGGAUUUUGCCAUCCUCAGUGCCACAUGAGUGCUCACUGCUCAGUGUUCACUUCUCGUUCGCGGGUUCCUCCAUAUCAAGUCUUCCUUGUGGCAAUACAGGAUGUCCCGCCAUUUGUUCGAGACUGAGUAAUACAAACAGUAAAUAUGAGAAAAUAUACUAUUCCCUGAAUGAUUAUACUGUGUUAGAGUAAUGCAAACAAUAAAUACGCGAAAAGAUGCUAUUCCCUUCGGUACUUACAGGCAGUGUUUUUAAUAAUGGCGUUAGAGUAUAACAGCAUUAUUUUUUUCUAGUAGUAAUUUUCCCAUUUUUCCAACGCCAUUACAGUUACUGAGGAUGGAAAGGGGCACAGUGCUACAAUUUUGGUUGAAUGAAACGUGAGUUGACUGAUUUUGUCACAGCUACCUGGAUAGAGCAAAGCGGGAGAGGGGAGGAGGGAAGGGGGUUGUGACGCUCAGGGCUCUGGUGACGCUGUUGCAAACGGGAUGAUGAUUGGCUAGGUGGCGUGAGAGCGUGAGCAUACCACUGGCCACUGUCGGGCAACUUUUUUUUUUUUUUUUUUUACGUACAGUUGGUGGCAUCCAUGUGGGUACAAUUAUUUAAAAAUAAUGUGCUGUUUUCCUGCUGAUCGUGCAUUAUCAUCGCCGAGUUGUCCUUGUAGAUGCUACCAGUCAUGCAAACUUGCCUCCUUUCUGCGAAAUUUCGCCGUUUUGAAAUGAAAAUGGGUCAUUCUUCUGAAUCACGUAGA